UACGAAGGGGGCUAGCGUUGCUCGGAAUUACUGGGCGUAAAGCGCACGUAGGCGGCUAUUCAAGUCGGGGGUGAAAUCCUGGAGCUCAACUCCAGAACUGCCUUUGAUACUGAAGAUCUUGAGUUCGGGAGAGGUGAGUGGAACUGCGAGUGUAGAGGUGAAAUUCGUAGAUAUUCGCAAGAACACCAGUGGCGAAGGCGGCUCACUGGCCCGAUACUGACGCUGAGGCACGAAAGCGUGGGGAGCAAACAGG
rnacentral:rRNA from 1 species